GGGACGAACGCUGGCGGCGUGCUUAACACAUGCAAGUCGAACGGUGAUCCUCCUUCGGGAGGGGAUCAGUGGCGAACGGGUGAGUAACACGUGAGCAACCUGCCCUUAGCUCUGGGAUAACCCCGGGAAACCGGGGCUAAUACCGGAUAUGAGUCCGAGCGGCAUCACGCGGACUGGAAAGUUUUUCGGCUAAGGAUGGGCUCGCGGCCUAUCAGCUUGUUGGUGGGUAAUGGCCUACCAAGGCGACGACGGGUAGACCGGCCGUCGAGAGGGCGGACCGGCCGACACGUGGGACGUGAGGAC
rnacentral:rRNA from 1 species